rnacentral:rRNA from 2 species
AAGUCGUAACAAGGUCUCCGUUGGUGAACCAGCGGAGGGAUCAUUACCGAGUUAUACAACUCAUCAACCCUGUGAACAUACCUAAAACGUUGCUUCGGCGGGAACAGACGGCCCUGUAACAACGGGCCGCCCCCGCCAGAGGACCCCUAACUCUGUUUUUAUAAUGUUUUUCUGAGUAAACAAGCAAAUAAAUUAAAACUUUCAACAACGGAUCUCUUGGCUCUGGCAUCGAUGAAGAACGCAGCGAAAUGCGAUAAGUAAUGUGAAUUGCAGAAUUCAGUGAAUCAUCGAAUCUUUGAACGCACAUUGCGCCCGCCAGUAUUCUGGCGGGCAUGCCUGUUCGAGCGUCAUUACAACCCUCAGGCCCCCGGGCCUGGCGUUGGGGAUCGGCAGAAGCCCCCUGUGGGCACACGCCGUCCCUCAAAUACAGUGGCGGUCCCGCCGCAGCUUCCAUUGCGUAGUAGCUAACACCUCGCAACUGGAGAGCGGCGCGGCCAUGCCGUAAAACACCCAACUUCUGAAUGUUGACCUCGAAUCAGGUAGGAAUACCCGCUGAACUUAA